rnacentral:rRNA from 1 species
GCUGGAAUCGCUAGUAAUCGCGGAUCAGAAUGCCGCGGUGAAUACGUUCCCGGGUCUUGUACACACCGCCCGUCACACCAUGGGAGUCGGAAAUGCCCGAAGUCGGUGACCGAACCGAAAGGAAGGAGCCGCCGAAGGCAGGUCUGAUAACUGGGGUGAAGUCGUAACAAGGUAGC